CAUUACAGUGGUAUUUAUAAAAGAAUAUGCACCCGAUCCCGUCUGAUCUCGGAAGCUAAGCAAGGUCAGACCUAGUUAGUACUUAGAUGGGAGACCACCUAGGAAGACCAGGUGCUGGAGGC
ensembl:rRNA 5S_rRNA 5S ribosomal RNA